CUACGGGUCGCUGCAGUGGGGAAUAUUGCACAAUGGGCGAAAGCCUGAUGCAGCAACGCCGCGUGAGCGAUGAAGGCCUUCGGGUCGUAAAGCUCUGUCCUCAAGGAAGAUAAUGACGGUACUUGAGGAGGAAGCCCCGGCUAACUACGUGCCAGCAGCCGCGGUAAUACGUAGGGGGCUAGCGUUAUCCGGAAUUACUGGGCGUAAAGGGUGCGUAGGUGGUUUCUUAAGUCAGAGGUGAAAGGCUACGGCUCAACCGUAGUAAGCCUUUGAAACUGAGAAACUUGAGUGCAGGAGAGGAGAGUAGAAUUCCUAGUGUAGCGGUGAAAUGCGUAGAUAUUAGGAGGAAUACCAGUUGCGAAGGCGGCUCUCUGGACUGUAACUGACACUGAGGCACGAAAGCGUGGGGAGCAAACAGGAUUAGAUACCCCGGUAGUC
rnacentral:rRNA from 1 species